AGCUUUGCACAGUGGCAGUAUUGUAGCCAGUGAGGUUUAUCCAAGGUGCAAUUAUUGGCCAAUUAAACUAUCUCACUGACCA
rnacentral:snRNA from 1 species